UACGAAGGGGGCUAGCGUUGCUCGGAAUCACUGGGCGUAAAGGGUGCGUAGGCGGGUCUUUAAGUCAGGGGUGAAAUCCUGGAGCUCAACUCCAGAACUGCCUUUGAUACUGAAGAUCUUGAGUGCGGGAGAGGUAAGUGGAACUGCGAAUGUAGAGGUGAAAUUCGUAUAUAUUCGCAAGAACACCAGUGGCGAAGGCGGCUCACUGGCCCGAUACUGACGCUGAGGCACGAAAGCGUGGGGAGCAAACAGG
rnacentral:rRNA from 1 species